CCUACGGGAGGCAGCAGUGAGGAAUAUUGGUCAAUGGCCGGAAGGCUGAACCAGCCAUGCCGCGUGAAGGUCAGUGCCCUAUGGGCGUUAAACUUCUUUUGUGCGGGAGCAAUAAUGGUCACGUGUGGCCAGACGAGAGUACCGUACGAAUAAGCAUCGGCUAACUCCGUGCCAGCAGCCGCGGUAAUACGGGGGAUGCAAGCGUUAUCCGGAUUUAUUGGGUUUAAAGGGUGCGUAGGCUGUGAGGUAAGUCAGCGGUGACAUGCCCCCGCUCAACGGGGUGAAGUGCCAUUGAUACUGACUUGCUGGAAUGCGGAUGCCGUGGGAGGAAUGUGUGGUGUAGCGGUGAAAUGCAUAGAUACCACACAGAACACCGAUUGCGAAGGCAUCUCACGAAUCCGCGAUUGACGCUGAUGCACGAAAGCGUGGGUAUCAAACAGGAUUAGAUACCCCUGUAGUC
rnacentral:rRNA from 1 species